AGUCGUAACAAGGUUUCCGUAGGUGAACCUGCGGAAGGAUCAUUAAAGAGUGAGGGUGCUCGGCGCCCGACCUCCAACCCUUUGUUGUUAAAACUACCUUGUUGCUUUGGCGGGACCGCUCGGUCUCGAGCCGCUGGGGAUUCGUCCCAGGCGAGCGCCCGCCAGAGUUAAACCAAACUCUUGUUAUUUAACCGGUCGUCUGAGUUAAAAUUUUGAAUAAAUCAAAACUUUCAACAUCGGAUCUCUUGGUUCUCGCAUCGAUGAAGAACGCAUCGAAAUGCGAUAAGUAAUGUGAAUUGCACAAUUCAGUGAAUCAUCUAAUCUUUGAACGCACAUUGCGCCCCUUGGUAUUCCGAGGGGCAUGCCUGUUCGAGCGUCAUUACACCACUCAAGCUAUGCUUGGUAUUGGGUGCCGUCCUUAGUUGGGCGCGCCUUAAAGACCUCGGCAAGGCCUCACCGGCUUUAGGCGUAGUAGAAUUUAUUCGAACGUCUGUCAAAGGAGAGGACUUCUGCCGACUGAAACCUUUAUUUUUCUAGGUUGACCUCGGAUCAAGUAGGGAUACCCGCUGAACUUAAGCAUAUCAAUAUCAAAGUCG
rnacentral:rRNA from 1 species